rnacentral:tRNA from 1 species
GCAGGUAUAGCUCAGUGGUAUAUCGCAUGCUUAGGAUGCAUGAGGUUCUGGGUUCAAUUCCCAGUACCUCCA